rnacentral:rRNA from 1 species
CUACGGGCCGCUCCAGUGGGGAAUAUUGCACAAUGGGGGAAACCCUGAUGCAGCGAUGCCGCGUGAACGAAGAAGGCUUUCGAGUCGUAAAGUUCUGUUCUUAGGGAAGAAAAUGACGGUACCUAAGGAGAAAGCACCGGCUAAAUACGUGCCAGCAGCCGCGGUAAUACGUAUGGUGCAAGCGUUGUCCGGAACUACUGGGCGUAAAGAGUUCGUAGGCGGUCAAAUAAGUCAGAAGUGAAAGGCUACGGCUCAACCGUAGUAAGCUUUUGAAACUGUUUGACUUGAGUACUGGAGAGGAAAGUGGAAUUCCUAGUGUAGCGGUGAAAUGCGUAGAUAUUAGGAGGAACACCAGUGGCGAAGGCGGCUUUCUGGACAGUAACUGACGCUGAGGAACGAAAGCGUGGGGAGCAAACAGGAUUAGAUACCCGCGUAGUC